rnacentral:rRNA from 1 species
UACGGGGGAUGCAAGCGUUAUCCGGAAUCAUUGGGCGUAAAGCGUCUGUAGGUGGCUUAAUAAGUCUGUUGUUAAAGACUGGGGCUUAACCCCAGGAAAGCAAUGGAAACUGUUAAGCUAGAGUGUGGUAGAGGUAGAGGGAAUUCCUAGUGUAGCGGUGAAAUGCGUAGAUAUUAGGAAGAACACCGGUGGCGAAAGCGCUCUACUGGGCCAUAACUGACACUCAGAGACGAAAGCUAGGGUAGCAAAUGGGAUUAGAUACCCCAGUAGUCCUAGCCGUAAACGAUGGAUACUAGAUGUCGCGUAACUUUUACAGUGUUUUAGCUAACGCGUUAAGUAUCCCGCCUGGGGAGUACACUCGCAAGGGUG